GAGAAUGGCGGCACAGCCUCCCGCCCGGCCCCCAUCCUUCUGGGGUAAAGCAGCGGAGACACCCACAUCCACAGCCCACAGCUCCAAAUCAAGGGAUUCCGGAGCCCCUGCUUCUGUCAAAAGAGAAAACGCCCAUGGCAACCGGCAAGUGUUGCCUGAAACUGCAGAGUGUGUGUUUACCAAAACAGGGGUGGCUCACUGACACCGUCGCCCAGCGAGAGUCUGGCGGGGCGCCCGCGAGGCGGCGGGUGGUCGCGGGGGCGGGGGACAGACGCGCCGAGUCCCUGCGGGGAGGAGCCGGCACCGGCCCGGCGGGACCCGCGGGCCAUCGACCCCCCUUGCCUGCCGACCCAGAGGUGGAACCGCGGUCCGUCAGCCCGCGUCCCUCCCUGGGCUGAAGCCGGCCGGCUGCGCACGGUGAGGUUGGUGUUUCCUGGAGCAGUCAGAACGCGCCUCUCCCAGCCCCGAAGGCCGACGUGGUGCCAGAUGCGCAGUCCCGCAGCCCCAUUUCAUGGAUGAGGACACUGAGGUCCAGGGAGAUCAGAUGUGAAGUCUCGCUGCUGGUGAGCAGCCAACCCAGGAAUGCUGGCUUUCCUGCCUCUGGCCUGGAAUCACAUGUAACCAAAGCCAUAUGUUCAACUUGGAUUAAUUAAACCGAGGCCUCAGAACAUUUCUGCUGCUGCUUCUGAUGCUUUUGCAUUAUACUAUUUUAA